CAACUUUGCUAUCUUAGAACGGAUCACCAGUGAAAGAGGGGAAGUUGCUACUGUGAUGAAUUCUGCCAUGUGGUACCAGACUGCUGCCCAGACCACAGUGUCCUCUGCAACCCUGGUAACUCACAUACAGGCCUGAUUCCACCUACAGCAAAGCUGGAUGCUAUGGUUGGCAGAGGCAAGCCCCUUGCCUGCACUUCAGGCCAAAGCCGGGAUGUGGCCUAGAUGGUUCCUAAGGUCCCUGACAGUCCUGAGAUCUUUCAUCUUGUCUAUUUCAGGUCAAAGCUUCUCAGAUGACCAAGAUGGUGCUGCCGAUGGUGUUGAGGACGGAGAACCCACCAAGCCCCGUUAGGAGCCACCUAGACUGGAUGCAGAGCACAGUGAAAAUGGAGGUUCCCUCCUCCUGAGGCUGAGUGUGGCUUCCCUGGAAGACCUCACUGACCCCAGAGUGGCAGAAAGGCUGAUGCAGCAGCUCCACCAGGAACUCCACGCCCAUGCGCCUCACUUCCAGGUCUCCUUACUGCACGUCAGGAGAGGCUAACAGACAUCAGCUGCAGCCAGGCAUGUCCCGUACGCCCAAAGAGAGUGCUGCCCCUGGCCUGGGCCCCCACCGACAGACUGCAGCUGCGUUACUGUGCUGAGAGGUACCCAGAAGGUUCCCAUGAAGGG
rnacentral:lncRNA from 1 species